GCUGAGGUUGGCUCAGUGGUAGAGCACUUGCCUUGCAUGUGAGGUGCACUGGGUUUGAUCCUCAGCA
rnacentral:tRNA from 1 species